CACGCCCCGCCCCCGGCUCCGCCCCGCCCCCCGCGCCCGUGUCCCGGCGUGCCGCGCGCCCUCAUCUGCAUAGACACGCCCCGCCCGCUCCACGCCCCGCCCCCGGCUCCGCCCCGCCCCCCGCGCCCGUGUCCCGGCGUGCCCGAUGGGACGAGGACGCGUCCGUCAGCAGAAACCGCCGCAGCGAGGAUAAGGAGAGACGCGGCCUGCCCGGGGACGGCGGUGGGACCCGACAUCCAGGGUGAAGAGGACCAACGGGACGCUCCUGGAUCCACAGGGGUGAUUUCUCUCUCUCUCUCUCUCUCUCUCUCUCUCUCUCUCUCUCUCUCUCGAUGAAAGUCGACAAGAUCUGAUCAAAACGUGCGGCCCGGGACUUGUUUCUCUAGCUGACGUAAUCGCCAUUGAGUUAUCGCUGCAAACCACAGGCCUCGUCUCUUCUGUUAACAACUCAUCCAACUGGC